AGAUAUAUCCCUACUUUAGUUCAUUGCAGCCGUCGAAUAAAAAAAAAAAAGAGACAGAAACUUUGUUUGGGUUUGUGUGUGGGUCACCGAUUUCAAGCAUAAAGGGGAGGAAGGAGUUAAUCGUGAUCUAUCAAGAAAGGGUUUUUGGAAUACAUAACAAGCUUGGUAAAUUAUUGGUAUUUAUGAUUUGUGAAGCUGCAAAAGGUUAGGCAUUGAUCAGUGGCUGAUAGCUUGCUUGUGAGAUGGGUAGCUAUUAUUGGAGCUUUGGACGUUGGCUUUAGUUACCCAUAGUUGCACUAUUUAAGUAGACAUAAUUUCUUUAGCCCUUUUGGCUUUUAUUACGUUGAUUGUCUUUAUUGAAUUUUAUUGUGGAUUUCAUUUACAUUAUUGUGAUGAUACUGGUUGGUAACACCUUUU